AGUGAACGCUGGCGGUAGGCCUAACACAUGCAGGUCGAACGGCAGCACAGUAAGAGCUUGCUCUUACGGGUGGCGAGUGGCGGACGGGUGAGGAAUACAUCGGAAUCUACUUUUUCGUGGGGGAUAACGUAGGGAAACUUACGCUAAUACCGCAUACGACCUACGGGUGAAAGCAGGGGAUCUUCGGACCUUGCGCGAUUGAAUGAGCCGAUGUCGGAUUAGCUAGUUGGCGGGGUAAAGGCCCACCAAGGCGACGAUCCGUAGCUGGUCUGAGAGGAUGAUCAGCCACACUGGAACUGAGACACGGUCCAGACUCCUACGGGAGGCAGCAGUGGGGAAUAUUGGACAAUGGGCGCAAGCCUGAUCCAGCCAUACCGCGUGGGUGAAGAAGGCCUUCGGGUUGUAAAGCCCUUUUGUUGGGAAAGAAAGGCAGCAGGUUAAUACCCCGCUGUUCUGACGGUACCCAAAGAAUAAGCAGCGGCUAACUUCGUG
rnacentral:rRNA from 1 species